UACGAACUGUGCGAACGUUAUUCGGAAUCACUGGGCUUACAGGGUGCGUAGGCGGCUUUUCAGGUCAGGUGUGAAAGCCCCCGGCUCAACCGGGGAACUGCGCUUGAAACCGAAAGGCUCGAGUCAGCUAGAGGUACACGGAACUUCCAGUGGAGCGGUGAAAUGUGUUGAUAUUGGAAGGAACACCGGAGGCGAAAGCGGUGGUACUGGGGGCUGGUCUGACGCUGAGGCACGAAAGCCAGGGGAGCGAACGGG
rnacentral:rRNA from 1 species